CAGCAGCCGCGGGAACACGUAGGGGGCAAGCGUUAUCCGGAUUUACUGGGUGUAAAGGGAGCGUAGACGGCAAAUAAAGUCUGAAGUGAAAGCCCGCAGCUCAACUGCGGAGUUGCUUUGGAAACUUAUAAGCUGGAGUGUCGGAGGGGUAAGCGGAAUUCCCAGUGUAGCGGUGAAAUGCGUAGAUAUUGGGAGGAACACCGGAGGCGAAGGCGGCUUACUGGAAGAUAACUGACGCUGAGGCUCGAAAGCCAGGGGAGCGAACGGGAUUAGAGACCCCAGUAGUCCCUGUCUCUUAUAC
rnacentral:rRNA from 1 species